AGAUGUGAGGAUGAUCUGGCUGCGACAUCUGUCACCCCAUUGAUUACCAGGGUUGAUUCGGCUGAUCUGGCUGGCUAGACAGGUAUCCCCUUCCUCCCUCACUGCUCCAUGUGCGUCCCUCCUGAAGCUACGUGCUUGGUCAUUCCCGAAAGAGAAGGACCAUUCUUCUUCGGUCAAGGGUAUACAGGUAGCUGUGUUCUCCUGCUAGAACCUCCGAACAAGCUCCUAAGAGUGGGGUUAGUUGGGACCAGCAGUUGGCGUAAUGGCUGUGUCACUGGACUCCCACGU
ensembl:misc_RNA 7SK 7SK RNA